CGUUGAGACACCUGCCAGGCAACAGCGUGCACGGGCAGAGCCAGGAGGCCACCGGCACCUGCUGACAUAUCAUGCUGCCUCUCAGGACACGGACGAAAGAAGAGAGGAAGGAAACCAGGAUCUUAAAAGACAAAAGUACAUCAGGGUUUACGCUGAAGGGAUACUUGCAUAACAUGUUUUGGAUGAAAGGCCUGGAGAAUGUAGCCCCAGCUAACAGGGCAGGAAAGGAGACCAGUGCUCUUUUGCGUUAAGAAGCACCAACGUAUUGGGGGCACCUGGGUGACUCAGUCCGUGAAGUGUCCAACUGCAGCUCAGGUCAUGGUCUUACAGUUCAGACACCAAGAAUGCUUGUGUGCAGAGGGAAGAUCUUGCAAGGGCACACUGGAGGAGACAGCCAUCUACAAACCAGAGAGAGAGGCCUCAGGAGGCACGAAACCUGCCGACCCCUGCUCUGUGACAUCCAGCCUCCAGAAUUGUCCCUGAGCAACGGGAUGUGACGAGCCCCUGUUAUCCUGGACCUCCCCACUAGUCUCCCAUCUCCAGAACAAUCCGCGUUCCAGCUUCCUUCCCCGGAAACCACCCAGAUUCAGAGAAGAGCUAGGAUUCCCCCGGCACCGGUGAGGAUCGUUUCGGCUGCUGGCGGAGGAGACGAGGGGUAAGACCGGACGGCCAACCUGUGCGUCAGCCUCUCUCGCCAACGGGGGUCCCACCAGCUUCCCGGGCCCUUUGUGCCACUGGGCGCCAGAAAGAGCUGGCGUCACCGCAAAGCCCGGCCGUGACUCAUCCACCUCCCCAACUUCGCUCUUAAAAUGCGCUCUCUGGACUUUUCCAGGAAAGCCUGAGUGGCUCAUUGCAGACACCCAUCAUUAACGUG